AAGCAAUUUUUUGUUGGUUUUAGCCUCUUUUGGGAGAAAAUGGGUAUAAGUGUUGUCUAAACACUCCUAAUCCAUCUCUAACUCGUAUAAUUAGUCAAAUACUUUGGAUUGUGACACAUUUAGACCAUACAAAGACUAACAAAGCUAUUUACUGCUUCUAAGCAAUUUUUUCUUGGUUUUAGCUUCUUUUGGGAGAAAAUGGCUAUAAGUAUUGUCUAAACACUCCUAUCACAUCUUUAACUCUUAUAAUUAGUCAAAUGCAUUGGAUUGUGACACAUUUGGACCAUAAAAACACUAACAAAACUGUUUACUGCUUUUAAGCAAUUUUUUUGUUGGUUUUAGCCUCUUUUGGGAGAAAAUGGAUAUAAGUGUUGUCAAAACACCCCUAAUCCAUCUCUAACUCAUAUAAUCAGUUAAAUGUAUUGGAUUGCGAUACAUAUUGACCAUUGAAACACUAACAAAGCUAUUUAGU
rnacentral:sRNA from 1 species